AUUAAGCGGAGCAGACCAAAAUCCCAAACAAGGAAAUGGUGGGGGAAUAAAACGACCAUAUUAUUUAAUUAAUGCAUGUUAUAAUUAAUAUUUUAUUUUAUUGUAAAUUAAGAAAUAUUUAUGGGUUCAAAUGGAUUACGACUUCAAAACAAAGCUCGCAGCCGAACGAGAGAAGGUAGAAGAUCUGUUCGAAUAUGAAGGUUGCAAAGUGGGUCGAGGCACCUACGGGCACGUUUAUAAAGCUAAGCGCAAAGACGGGGAAGAUGAGAAGGAAUAUGCACUGAAACAAAUUGAAGGCACUGGAAUAUCGAUGUCUGCUUGCAGGGAAAUCGCUCUGUUACGAGAACUGAAACACCCCAACGUGAUCGCCCUGCAGAAAGUGUUCCUGUCUCACAGUGACAGAAAGGUGUGGCUCCUCUUUGAUUAUGCUGAGCACGACCUCUGGCACAUCAUCAAGUUCCACCGUGCCUCUAAGGCCAAUAAAAAGCCCAUACAGCUGCCGAGAGGCAUGGUCAAGUCUCUCCUGUAUCAGAUUCUGGACGGGAUCCAUUACCUCCAUGCCAACUGGGUGCUUCACAGGGAUCUGAAACCAGCCAACAUUCUGGUUAUGGGGGAGGGCUCAGAACGAGGGCGAGUGAAAAUCGCUGACAUGGGCUUCGCCAGACUCUUCAACUCUCCUCUCAAACCCCUGGCAGACCUUGACCCCGUUGUGGUGACAUUUUGGUACAGGGCCCCUGAGCUUCUGCUAGGGGCCAGACAUUACACCAAAGCAAUCGACAUUUGGGCGAUUGGCUGCAUCUUUGCGGAGCUGCUGACAUCGGAGCCGAUAUUCCACUGUCGCCAGGAGGACAUUAAGACCAGCAACCCCUUCCACCACGACCAGCUGGACAGGAUAUUCAGUGUCAUGGGCUUCCCAGCAGAUAAAGAUUGGGAAGACAUCAGGAAGAUGCCAGAGUUCCCCACCCUUCAGAAAGACUUCAGGAGAACGACGUAUGCAAAUAGCAGUCUAAUCAAAUACAUGGAGAAGCAUAAAGUCAAACCUGACAGCAAGGUUUUCCUGUUGCUCCAGAAACUCCUUACAAUGGACCCCACUAAAAGGAUUACGUCCGAACAGGCACUACAGGACCCAUAUUUCCUGGAGGAUCCCUUACCAACCUCAGAUGUAUUUGCCAGAUGUCAGAUACCUUACCCAAAACGAGAGUUUCUGAACGAAGAUGAGCCAGAUGAGAAAACAGAGAAGAACCAGGUCCAACAGCACCAGCAGACGACAGCCCAGGCCCAGCAGCAGAGUGGCACCCAGCAAGCUUCUAACCAGCAGAGCUCCACCCAGACCAACGGCAAUGCAGGGGCUACUGGAGCCAACUCCGGGGGAGGCCUACAGCACGGCCAGGACCAGGGGCCCCCCAACAAGAAAUCUCGCACCGGGCCCUCAGGAGCCUCCUCAGGCACUGGGAUCCACCAGCACUCCAGCUCCCGCCUUGGUUACCAAAGCAGCAUCCAAGGUUCCACUCAGUCCCAGGGAUACUCGUCGUCAUCCCAGCAGAGCUCACAGUACUCACACCAGCCACACCGCUACUGAGGCUCUUAGAACAGGCCAGGGGCCUCUCCCAAACCAACCCUCUCCCAAAAACAAACCUUAGCAUAACCUCUCACCUCCCUCUGGCCAAGGUAUUACUGACUCCUCAUCCUGAUCAGACCUCAUUAUGUGUCAGAUAAUUCCAACAACACAACAGUCACUCAUUAUCCGCCUUCAUGUCAGCCCUACUACACCGACUGACCCUGGCCUCACUUCCAGCCAAUGUCCUCACACUUACCCACCCGAGGGCACUGCAAUAUGAAGGCCAACUCAACAUAGGAACCAAAAACAAACCCUGCCUCCUUGAGGGGUAGGACAAGAUUUUCUAUUAUCAUCAAGUGGCAAAAUGGAUUGAUACUUAACUAAGAAGGAAACACGUCAGGUGCAACUGACUAUACAACACAAAGACUAUGAACCAUGACACUUACAAAAACAUGUUCUUCAAGAGGAAGAAUUGCAGCUCUGUUCAUAUAUAAAUAUAUACUAUAUAGUACUUUUUUAUUUGUUUAACAAGAGACUUGUUUUUGCUCGUUUGCUAUGUAGAGUUUGUUUACUUUGACUGUGGAUGUUUUUGUAAAUAUUGUUCGAUAUAGAAGAAGAUGGGAUGAAACAGGAAAAUAGCCCUUUACUGUCACCACUUUCCUUCACUGUACAGUUGUUUACCCUGGAUUUCUGUUACCAGAUAACUAUUGAAUCAAAAGGAAGAAAAUGAGCCAAUCCUUUCCUGAUGACAAAAGAUCUUCUUCUGAGAUCUUCCCCUUGGCUUGGAAAUACAUUUGUACAGAAGAAAGUUAGCUCUUUAGCUGAUGUAAUUGCAGGGAAUUACGAAAUACACCAUUUUAUCUUAAUCUUGUUAUAAAAAAAACUUUUGCUUUCUAAUUUUUAGCCUUUUGUUUUUCUAGAUUUGUAGUCUGCAAGUCUGCAUUGGAAGGAACCGUUUCUCAGCCUUUCUUCAGUCUGCAGCAAGUUAUGUAAGCAUCUCUAGGUACCCCAUGUCGCCUGACCGAUAACAACUACCAAGCUACUGUUUUACUAUGAGUCAUGUCCAUCAAGGAAACAUUUGUCGGCGAAUCUGAAUGUUCUCCUUUCUGGCCAGAGGUGUUUGAGUGUGUGAGAUGCUUGUUGUGGACACCUUGGGUUGACAGGUCUUUCCAUGGACACAGACAUCACUGAAGGUGACAUCAUAUAGUGCAGCUAACAGUGUGUAUGUUCCUGAGACGGUUACUGCUUAAUAAUGUUUUAUUUUCCAUGUAUUUUUCUAGCUUUUAAUGUUUCAUUAUUGCCCUUUACAUGCUUGUAUUUCCUCUUAUUCAGUCAAAGGACUGCACUGCUGAACGGAUCUGCAAAGACCUGGAACAAAUAUGGAAAGUCUUGCACCCCAGCCUCUUCAACUCCACACCCCUGGUAUUAACCCAGGCACACAGGCCCAGUGGAUUAACAACAGCCUUCCCAGAACAGUGGCGUUUACUCGGGAACAAAACCAGCAGCUAUUGAACCUUUUUUCUCUCUUUUAUUCUAUUGGCGCAUAUCUGAAGUAUAGUUGAAGAGCAUUGAGAAUACAUUACUGUUUCUCAAUUUAUCUCUAUACAAGCGAGGUAUCAAAAGUAUUAUUCAUUGUGCGGCUCCAACAAGUGAUCGUGGGGCAAAUAACUGUUAAACAGUUCCUAUGCAAAAUCAAAGAGAAUGGUGCAAUGCUUAAAUUUUACUAUGAGAGAUUGAGAGUUUUCUUAGGGUUUUUAAAACGAUUGGGAUAUCCAUUUCCACAUAGUAAAUCUACUGUUGAACAUCGUAAUUGAAGAAGGCAUUCACUUGUUUCUUACAGCAUUGUUAAUUGUACUCUAAAUGAAAUAUUGUAAAGAAAUAUAAACUAUAUGGAUGGUAUAUGGUUGUUCCACGAGUGCCUUUUGCAUCCCUGGGAUAUUUUAAGUAGAAAUUGUGCACCAAUUCUGAAUUUUAAAAGCCUGCUAUAUUAAAUGAAGUGCCCUUUAAUAUAGACUACAUGUAGAAUUCAAUCUUUUUUUAAAUUUUAUUUUUUAUUUCACCUUUAUUUAACCAGGUAGGCUAGUUGAGAACAAGUUCUCAUUUGCAACUGCGACCUGGCCAAGAUAAAGCUUAGCAGUGUGAACAGACAACACAGAGUUACACAUGGAGUAAACAAUUAACAAGUCAAUAACACAGUACAAAAAAAGGGGAGUCUAUAUACAUUGUGUGCAAAAGGCAUGAGGAGGUAGGCGAAUAAUUACAAUUUUGCAGAUUAGCACUGGAGUGAUAAAUGAUCAGAUGGUCAUGUACAGGUAGAGAUAUUGGUGUGCAAAAGAGCAGAAAAGUAAAUAAAUAAAAACAGUAUGGGGAUCAGGUAGGUGAAAAUGGGUGGGCUAUUUACCAAUAGACUAUGUACAGCUGCAGCGAUCGGUUAGCUGCUCAGAUAGCACAUGUUUGAAGUUUGUGAGGGAGAUAAAAGUCUCCAACUUCUGGGAUUUUUGCAAUUCGUUCCAGUCACAGGCAGCAGAGUACUGGAACGAAAGGCGGCCAAAUGAGGUCUUGGCUUUAGGGAUGAUCAGUGAGAUACACCUGCUGGAGCGCGUGCUACGGAUGGGUGUUGCCAUCGUGACCAGUGAACUGAGAUAAGGCGGAGCUUUACCUAGCAUGGAGUUGUAGAUGACCUGGAGCCAGUGGGUCUGGCGACGAAUAUGUAGCGAGGGCCAGCCGACUAGAGCAUACAAGUCGCAGUGGUGGGUGGUAUAAGGUGCUUUAGUGACAAAACGGAUGGCACUGUGAUAAACUGCAUCCAGUUUGCUGAGUAGAGUGUUGGAGGCAAUUUUGUAGAUGACAUCGCCGAAGUCGAGGAUCGGUAGGAUAGUCAGUUUUACUAGGGUAAGUUUGGCGGCGUGAGUGAAGGAGGCUUUGUUGCGGAAUAGAAGGCCGACUCUUGAUUUGAUUUUCGAUUGGAGAUGUUUGAUAUGAGUCUGGAAGGAGAGAUUACAGUCUAGCCAGACACCUAGGUACUUAUAGGUGUCCACAUAUUCAAGGUCGGAACCAUCCAGGGUGGUGAUGCUCGUCGGGCAUGCGGGUGCAGGCAGCGAUCGGUUGAAAAGCAUGUAUUUGGUUUUACUAGCGUUUAAGAGCAGUUGGAGGCCACGGAAGGAGUGUUGUAUGGCAUUGAAGCUCGUUUGGAGGUUAGAGAAAUGACUUUGAUUAUUAUAUGAAUAAAGGCUUGCUAAUGUGCGAAAAUCCUGUAUUUUGACAGGUCCCUCAGUUAACCCUGUGUCACUUAUAGGAAGAUUUCAAACCACUUAAUCCAAACAUUUCUCCAAGUUUCACCAUUAUUGUAAAGCCCUGGUUAUUUUGUUGCUUUGACAAAGUCAUUUCUGAAGAUUAUUAUUUAUUUCAUGUGAUUAGUUAUUCAUUUACGUCUAUCCCUCAUUUUAAGGUCAACCCUGUUAUGUGAACUCAACUCAAUUUUUAAUGUGGUGAAACUAUUCCUUCUCAAAACAAACAUUGAACAUCUAAUAGUCAAAUCAUAGUGUAAAAUCAGGUGAGCUGGUUCUACUCUUUUUGGCCAUUUUCUGUUGUUUUGUGGUGGAAAAUUGAGCUGUCGAGCAUAAAAGUCAACCCUGUUACCCGUAGAUAUACAGACUAGAAAUGUUUUAGCAAUUUCUUAUUUUUUUUUGUGAAGCUUGCAUUUAAUUGCCACUCCACAUGCACACAACAUGAUUCCAUUCCGCCUGUCACAAUGGGAUUUAUGGCUGAUUUAAGAUUAAAUUGUCAACCAUGUUACGGUCAACCGUGUUACCUUAUUUGGCACUUAAUAGGCACUUGCUAUAGUAAACUUGUUUUUAAAUUUAAAAUCUUGAGUUGGGAAAACAUAUUUUUUAUAAAGUUGAACAUGUGCUCUCUAUGACAGAAUGUUAGAAUUAGGUAAAAUCCCCCCAAAAUAUGGACCAAGUUACACUUCUCAAAUGGCACCGAGAUGGUGGAACAACCCAUACAUUAUACAAUCAUACAGUUGAAGUUGGAAGUUUACAUACACUUAGGUUGGAGUCAUUAAAACUCAUUUUUCAACCACUCCACAAAUUUCUU